rnacentral:rRNA from 1 species
GAUUAGCCCAAACCAAUAAAGUUUUCUUUAUUGGGGUUGCGGACAUAUCAUAACGAAGAGGUAUCGUAAUUGAAGAGGAUUGGAAAGACCCACCACAGAAGGUAAUAGUCCUGUAUGUUAAACGAGAAGACUUUAGAUAUGAUCCAGAGUACCACGGGACACGUGAAACCCUGUGGGAAGCAGGAGGGACCACCCUCCAAGGCUAAAUACUACCUAGUGACCGAUAGCGUAUAGUACCGUGAGGGAAAGGUGAAAAGAACCCCGGGAGGGGAGUGAAAUAGAACCUGAAACCCUGCACUUACAAGCUGUGGAAGCACAUUUCUUGUGUGACCGCGUACUUUUUGUAGAACGGGCCAACGAGUUACGUUAAGUAGCAAGGUUAAGCACUUAAGGUGCGGAGCCGUAGCGAAAGCGAGUUUUAACUGAGCGUUCAGUUACUUGACGUAGACCCGAAACCGGGCGACCUACCCAUGAGCAGGAUGAAGCGAAAGUAAAAUUUCGUGGAGGUCCGAACCCACGAGCGUUGAAAAGCUCGGGGAUGACUUGUGGGUAGCGGUGAAAUUCCAAUCGAGCCCGGAGAUAGCUGGUUCUCCCCGAAAUAGCUUUAGGGCUAGCCUCAAGGUGAGAGAUACGGAGGUAGAGCACUGAAUGUCCUAGGGGGUAUUGCACCUACCGAAGACUAUCAAACUCCGAAUGCCGUCAUCUUAUACUUGGGAGUCAGACUGUGGGUGAUAAGAUUCAUAGUCGAAAGGGCAACAGCCCAGAUCGUCAGCUAAGGUCCCUAAAUGUAAGUUAAGUGGUAAAG